CGAGCUUGUCUUGUGCUCGCAAGAGCGGGAGAGGAGCGAGUGGCGGACGGGUGAGCAACACGUGGGUGACCUACCUUUCAGUGAGGAAUACCGGCGAGAAAUCGCCGACAAGACCGCAUGCGCUUCCCUGCUCGCGAGAGGGGGGAAGGAAAGCUUUCCUUCGGGAAGGCGCUGGAAGAUGGGCCCGCGGCCGAUUAGCUGGUUGGUGGGGUAAGAGCCUACCAAGGCGACGAUCGGUAGCUGGUCUGAGAGGACGAUCAGCCACACUGGGAUUGAGAACGGCCCAGACUCCUACGGGGGGCAGCAGUGAGGAAUUUUCGGCAAUGGGGGCAACCCUGACCGAGCAACGCCGCGUGCAGGAGGAAGGUUUUCGGAUCGUAAACUGCUUUUCUCGGGGACGAGGACGGACGGUACCCGAGGAAGAAGCCCCGGCUAACUACGUGCCAGCAGCCGCGGUAAUACGUAGGGGGCGAGCGUUGUCCGGAGUUACUGGGCGUAAAGCGCACGCAGGCGGUCGUGUCAGUUUGGGGUUACAGCUCCCGGCUUAACCGGGAGAGCGCCUCGAAGACGGCAGGACUUGAGGGCCAAAGAGGGACACAGAAUUCCGGGUGUAGUGGUGAAAUGCGUAGAUAUCCGGAGGAAUACCAAAGGCGAAGGCAGUGUCCUGGUUGGUACCUGACGCUCAGGUGCGAAAGCUAGGGGAGCGAACGGGAUUAGAUACCCCGGUAGUCCUAGCCGU
rnacentral:rRNA from 1 species